rnacentral:rRNA from 1 species
UAAGGAAUAUUGGUCAAUGGACGAAAGUCUGAACCAGCCAUGCCGCGUGAAGGAUGAAGGCCCUCUGGGUUGUAAACUUCUUUUAUCUGGGACGAAAAAAGCUCAUUCUUGAGCACUUGACGGUACCAGAGGAAUAAGCACCGGCUAACUCCGUGCCAGCAGCCGCGGUAAUACGGAGGGUGCAAGCGUUAUCCGGAUUCACUGGGUUUAAAGGGUGCGUAGGUGGGUUGGUAAGUCAGUGGUGAAAUCUCCGAGCUUAACUCGGAAACUGCCAUUGAUACUAUCAAUCUUGAAUCAUCUGGAGGUAAGCGGAAUAUGUCAUGUAGCGGUGAAAUGCUUAGAUAUGACAUAGAACACCAAUUGCGAAGGCAGCUUACUACGGGUGUAUUGACACUGAGGCACGAAAGCGUGGGGAUCAAACAG